GAAACGACUGCUAAGACUGGAUAGGAGAUAAGAAGGCAUCUUCUUAUUUUUAAAAGACCUAGUAAUAGGUAUGCUUAAGGAAGGGCUUGCGUCACAUUAGUUAGUUGGUAGGGUAAAGGCCUACCAAGACGAUGAUGUGUAGCCGGGCUGAGAGGCUGAACGGCCACAUUGGAACUGAGACACGGUCCAAACUCCUACGGGAGGCAGCAGUAGGGAAUUUUCGGCAAUGGAGGAAACUCUGACCGAGCAACGCCGCGUGAACGAUGAAGUAUUUCGGUACGUAAAGUUCUUUUAUUAAGGAAGAAAAGAUGGUGGAAAAACCAUUAUGACGGUACUUAAUGAAUAAGCCCCGGCUAACUAUGUGCCAGCAGCCGCGGUAAUACAUAGGGGGCAAGCGUUAUCCGGAAUUAUUGGGCGUAAAGGGUGCGUAGGCGGUUUAAUAAGUUUAUGGUCUAAGUGCAAUGCUUAACAUUGUGAUGCUAUAAAAACUGUUUGACUAGAGUUGGAUAGAGGCAAGUGGAAUUCCAUGUGUAGUGGUAAAAUGCGUAAAUAUAUGGAGGAACACCAUGAGCGAAGGCGGCUUGCUGGGUCUUAACUGACGCUGAGGCACGAAAGCGUGGGGAGCAAACAGGAUUAGAUACCCUGGUAGUCCACGCUGUAAACGAUGAGUACUAGACGUUGGGUUAAACCAGUGUCGAAGUUAACACAUUAAGUACUCCGCCUGAGUAGUACGUACGCAAGUAUGAAACUUAAAGGAAUUGACGGGACUCCGCACAAGCGGUGGAUCAUGUUGUUUAAUUCGAAGAUACCCGAAAAACCUCACCAGGUCUUGACAUGCUUCUGCAAAGCUGUAGAAAUACAGUGGAGGUUAUCAGUUGUACAGGUGGUGCAUGGUUGUCGUCAGCUCGUGUCGUGAGAUGUUGGGUUAAGUCCCGCAACGAGCGCAACCCUUGUUGUUAAUUGCCAUCAUUAAGUUGGGGACUUUAGCAAGACUGCCAGUGAUAAAUUGGAGGAAGGUGGGGAUGACGUCAAAUCAUCAUGCCCCUUAUGACCUGGGCUACAAACGUGAUACAAUGGCUGUUACAAAGGGUAGCUGAAGCGCAAGUUUUUGGCAAAUCUCAAAAAAACAGUCUCAGUUCGGAUUGAAGUCUGCAACUCGACUUCAUGAAGUUGGAAUCGCUAGUAAUCGCGAAUCAGCAUGUCGCGGUGAAUACGUUCACGGGGUUUGUACACACCGCCCGUCA
rnacentral:rRNA from 1 species